rnacentral:rRNA from 1 species
CCUACGGGAUGCAGCAGUGGGGAAUAUUGCACAAUGGGGGAAACCCUGAUGCAGCGACGCCGCGUGAGUGAAGAAGUAAUUCGUUAUGUAAAGCUCUAUCAGCAGGGAAGAAAAUGACGGUACCUGAGUAAGAAGCCCCGGCUAACUACGUGCCAGCAGCCGCGGUAAUACGUAGGGGGCAAGCGUUAUCCGGAUUUACUGGGUGUAAAGGGAGCGUAGACGGCAGUGCAAGUCUGGAGUGAAAGGCGGGGGCUCAACCCCCGGACUGCUCUGGAAACUGUACGGCUGGAGUGCAGGAGAGGUAAGUGGAAUUCCUAGUGUAGCGGUGAAAUGCGUAGAUAUUAGGAGGAACACCAGUGGCGAAGGCGGCUUACUGGACUGUAACUGACGUUGAGGCUCGAAAGCGUGGGGAGCGAACAGGAUUAGAUACCCCUGUAGUC